UACGGAGGGUGCAAGCGUUAUCCGGAUUCACUGGGUUUAAAGGGUGCGUAGGUGGGCAGGUAAGUCAGUGGUGAAAUCUCCGAGCUUAACUCGGAAACUGCCGUUGAUACUAUUUGUCUUGAAUAUUGUGGAGGUAAGCGGAAUAUGUCAUGUAGCGGUGAAAUGCUUAGAUAUGACAUAGAACACCAAUUGCGAAGGCAGCUUACUACACAACGAUUGACGCUGAGGCACGAAAGCGUGGGGACCAAACAGG
rnacentral:rRNA from 1 species